GAGGAUGUACCUCAGUGGCAGAGUACUUGCCUGGCAUGCAUGAGGCCCUGGGCUCAAUCUCCAGUAUCUCA
rnacentral:tRNA from 1 species